GUCAAGAACAGCUCGUGCAGCCCGCCUAAUCCGCAGCCUCCACGAACAAACAGCAUCCUUCGCAACCGAGUGCACCCGCUCACACCAAGUCGAGCUUUAUUUGGAGAAGAAACCACCAAGAGCCUCCACAGAUUAUCGGACCUACAUCAAGAAAACAGAACGAGCAAGCGGGCUCUGAACGUGCCUCCACCAAAGGAAGAAGCCGUGGUUGACAAGGCCGACGACUCUCCACCUCGCACAGGCACCGCGACGGAGAACCCGUAACGGACCUUCACGAUUUCGAACCGAAAUCAACCCCUGGAAGCCCC
rnacentral:lncRNA from 1 species